GACGUAGGAUGCGAGCGUUGUCCGGAUUUAUUGGGCGUAAAGAGUUCGUAGGUGGUUCGUUAAGUCUGGUGUAAAAGACCGGGGCUCAACCCUGGGAUCGCACUGGAUACUGGCGGACUGGAGUGUGGUAGAGGCAAGCGGAAUUCCCAGUGUAGCGGUGAAAUGCGUAGAUAUUGGGAAGAACACCGGUGGCGCAAGCGGCUUGCUGGGCCAUAACUGACACUGAGGAACGAAAGCUAGGGGAGCGAAUGGG
rnacentral:rRNA from 1 species